rnacentral:rRNA from 1 species
CCUACGGGAGGCAGCAGUGAGGAAUAUUGGUCAAUGGGCGAGAGCCUGAACCAGCCAAGUCGCGUGAGGGAGUACUGCCCUAUGGGUUGUAAACCUCUUUUGUCGGGGAGCAAAAGCCGGACGGGUCCGGCUGUGAUAGUACCCGAAGGAAAAGCAUCGGCUAACUCCGUGCCAGCAGCCGCGGUAAUACGGGGGAUGUGAGCGGUAUCCGGGUUUUUUGGGGUUAAAGGGUGGGCAGGCGGAUGUUUAAGGCGGCGGUCAAAUCGUGGGGAUCAACCCCGUCCAGCCGUUGAAACUGGGGAUCUAGAGUGUGCGAGAGGUAUGCGGAAUGAGUGGUGUAGCGGUGAAAUGCAUAGAUAUCACGCAGAACCCCGAUUGCGAAGGCAGCAUACCGGUGCACAACUGACGCUCAGGCACGAAAGCGUGGGUAUCGAACAGGAUUAGAUACCCCUGUAGUC